ACAAAAUGGGUUGUGUAUAUUAGUGAGCAAGCAAAGCCAGUGAGAGGAAAGCAUGGCACCUGUGGUGUAUGGAGUAUGGUUAUUCCUAACAUCAUAGAAGUGAUGCACAGCAUUUGAUGGAAGCAAUGGUCUGCUGGACUGGCACAGCACAGGACUUAAACUGCCAGAUCUUCUUCCCAAAGAGCCCUUCUUCCUCCUGUCAGGCUUUCUGCUGAGCUGGGGGGAGCUCAGGCCCAUCUCCUGCUUUUCGCUCUGCCUACAUAAGUCCCAUCUGCCCAAGAAGCCGUAGGGCUGCCCAGAGGCAGAGCAGGUCUUGGAAGAUUUAUUGAAAUCCUUCACUAUGUAAUCCAAAGCUGCAUUUUUAUUCUGGUCCUUACGGUGUUAACUCACUUUGUUGCUUAUUGAUAGGAGACUCCUCUCGAGCGAGUAUUAAUCUGUUUAUAAUUGUGGUGUCUAAAAUGAUUUAAUGUCUGCCAGUGAUUUCUAAGACAUAGAAUUUGUAUGUUAAAAACGAGAUCCACGUGAAAUGGAAAAGGUUGCAGUGUUUCAAAACAUCUCAGUAAUUCUGGCGUCCUGCCCAGUACUAAUGCCUAUCUACUAAAAACAAAUGGUAGGAGAACUUUAAUUGUUUUUUUUUUUUUUUUUUUUUUUUUUUUUAAUAUGAAACAGAGGUCUUUCCAAGUCAGGUUUAGCAUAAUUUUCUCAUCUCAUUUUGUCUUUUUCGUAUUUAGUUGGAAGGUGUUUAUGAUUGUGGAGGGAUUGGAAAUGACCCCAGGAGCACAGAAGCAGCCUCGUCCUGCAGAGUUCAGAGGAUGGUGGUGGAGGUGUGAUGACCACCAACCACACAGCUCUCUGUCCUCUCCACUGCCCAUCGAUCCUCAUCUUUUCCAUGGCUAGCAAUCAAUUGAAGAUAAAUGUUACAGAGAUACUCACUAAAGCCAUGGGUCGUGGAGCAUGGCAUGCCCUGCUGCAUGCAGAAAGGUUGAGCACAGCAGUGCCUGACGGACGGGUAGACCGGCGUGUUGCAGAUGAAUAAUAAUCAGUCCAAUCUGUGCUGGUGCUGUCAAUUGCCAGCAGUGAUGUGCUUCUCAUUCCUGCCUCCUUCUUCAGGUGGGAGCACAGCAAUAGGGGUGCACCAGGUUAUGAGACCUACGUUGACCAUUCAUAGACAUUUUGCCUCUUUGCUGCCUUUUUCUUACCUCCUGGGUUGGAGAUGACCUGGGCUGGAGCACACUGCUUCUCAUGCUCAUGCUGACUGUGAACUGUUCUUUGCUUUGCAUAGACACCUGCUGCAGGGAAACUGUAUGCUAGAAAGGAAGAGCAUAGCUUGAUCCAAGUGCUCAACCAAUCUAACACGUGGGCCGAAUCACCUGGAUUGGGAAAGACAGCGUUAGGGCAGCCUGUGUGUGCACGCUUACAAGGCAUUUGUUCAGGACAGGACUGGUGCCUGACUCCUAAACACAGCAUGCUGUGUAAGUGUUAACCUCUAGGGAAACUCCUCUUGCUCAGGCUGGGCAAUGAGGUGACAGCACAGUGUUUAUUUGUUG
rnacentral:lncRNA from 1 species